AGGCCAAAGGAAAGUUAACCCUUUCAAAUGUGGUGUCUGAAGCUCAAAUGAUGAUGAGCGCCAAUUUUCACAGCUGUCCAGCCAGAUUUCCAGUCUCCUGCUCUGAGAUCCUCCCGUUCUCCUGCUCUGAUGGUCUGCCCAGUCUCCAGCUCAGCCGGAAACCACACAUCUACAGGUUAUGGAUUUUUCUGGUCUGCCUGUGCCUGUGGCCAUGACAAUGAGUACUGGAUGCCCCACUGAAGCUUUUCAUCUCAUGUGGCCUGCCUACAAUUCUAGUUUACAGAUGGCACUGAUCUAAUACCAGCAAGACGCAUAGAGAAGAAAGAAGUACAGGAUGUCUGAUGGCGUAAUGGACUGCAUGGAAAGGAGAGGCAGGAAUCUCUUCUACAACUUUGCCCAUGACCCAGGAGAUGCGUGGAGCAGUAUGGUCAACAAUCAGCACAAUGUCCCCAACAGUGAAGUUGCGUGAUAUGCGAGUCCACUUCUGACGCUCUUGUAGCUGAGGUCUUCACCCAUCCUCUUCACCCUCUACAUCACGGACUUCAACUACUGCACAGAGAUUUGCCACCAUCAGAAUGGUGACUCUGCAAUAGCUGGGUGUAUCAACAAGGGUCCAUCAGGGGGGUCAGUGUGGACACUGUGGAGGAUUACAAAUGUCUGGGUGUGUAUAUUGACAAUAAACUGGA